UGGACCUUAACUUUUAUUCAGUUUCUUCUUAAGGUGAAGAAAACUCUUUGCAAAAGUCCCAGGGAAAUAUGAGAACUUUUGCUUCACCCUUUGCAAGUAAAAAGGAUAGAUCAUUCCACUGCUGACAUAU